UCAUAUUUAUCUCAAAAUAGUCUCUCAAGGUUUUUUGGGCCUUCUUUAGCACUUCUACAUCUCUAAAUAAGGUGUCAUUCAUCCUCCAUCUAAAGGAGCCAGUUGGUAUUAGUUUCAUUUCCAUCUUGACAGCAUUAUGGUCGGAGCAAGUUUUCGGGCAGAUUUCCGCUUUUCUUGUCUUUGGUGCCAUUCCUCUAGUUACCCAUAUUUGGUCAAUUCUAGUCCAUGUCAUUUUGGCUUCAGAAAAGAAGGUUCCCUCUUUAGCCAUGGGGUUUCUUGUUCUCCAAAUAUCAACUAGAUCCAAGUUGUCUGUCAUCUCAAAGAAGGUUUUCGGUAGUCUACCAUCCUUGGUGACUACCUGUCUUUGUGCCUUGUCCAUAUGUGUAGAUACCACUCCAUUCAUGUCUCCCAUCAAAAUCAUGUUAUAAUCCAAAUAGUCCAUCAGAGUCUCAUGCAACUUCUUAAAAAAGUCAGAUUUCCCCUCAUUUGGUGCAUAAAUCCCUACUAUCAAGAAUUUUUCUCCUUGUGUCUGAAUUUCAAUUGCCACAAAUCUUCCUUGGUCAUCUUUAAAAAUAAAUUUCGGUAAUAGUCUGUCCUUUGCAUAAAUCACAACUCCUCUUUUUUUUACUUUAUCCGAUGAGAUAAACUCCUGACCAAGUCUUUUAUUUAUCAAUAAUUUCCUGUGUAACCUUGUUAUAUGUGUUUCUUGUAGGCAAAUCAAGUCCAAUUGUUCCUUUUUUAAUAAAUGAAACACAGAUUUCCUUUUCUGGGGAGAGUUCAAACCAUUACAAUUCCAACUUAAUAGUUGCAGGGCCAUGAUGUAAUUAUUUUGCUUCUCCUCCAACAGCACCCAGUGCCUGUUCCUGUUCCGUCGGUGGUAUCACGUUUCUCAGGCGGUCUUUUAGUUCCAGAGAUAGUCCUGGUGUGUCUAAAGUUUCACUUACAAUUGCUCUUAACUCUCCUGUAACUUUCUUCUAUAGGUCUUCUCCGUGGUCUCUCCAAAAUUUGUCUUUGUCGUCUUCUGAUCUUAUUUUUAUCUUCUUUCCUUUGUAGCUAAAGGAUAGGCCUUGAGGAAAUUCCCACCUAAAGAUGAUUCCGUUGCUUCUCAGCAGGGUGACCAAGUCUUUGUAAUUAAACCUGAGAUCCAGAAGAUGUUUCGGAAUAUCCUUGAAUAUCUCCACUUUUGACUGUUGUAUUUCCAAAGUCUUCUGGAAAUGCAGACUCAGAAUCUUGUCUCUCUCUUCUUUUGUUCGGAGGGUGAUCAAACAGUCUCUCACCCUGUUCUUUCUCCCUCCUUUUCCAAGUCUAAAAGCACUCACUAUCUUAAAACUAUCUUUCCCCAAAUCUGGGUUCCAAAAAUCUAGAAAUUCCUGCGUGAGAAAUUCAACCAAAUUGUCUUUCUCCACUUCAGGUACAGCCCUGACCCUUAAGUUCACUUGUUUCUCCUUCAACUCGAUCAUAGACAGAAUUGACUUAUGGUCUUCAAGUUGUUUAUGUAGCGGUGGUAUCUUCCCUUGAACCACUGUAGCAGUAGCUGUAGCAAUUUCCCUAGCCUCUUCGGCAGUCUUACGUGUCGAAGCAGAUUCCUGUAAUAAUUUCUGAAUAGUUUCUGUAUUAGUAUUUACUUUCUGUCCCAAAUUAGUGAUACUUGCCGUAUUUUGGUUAAUACUUGUCGUAUUUUGAUCAAUCUUAUCCGAUGCCUUGGCUACUUGUUUACUAAUUCUAUCCAAAGAUUCAUUAAUUUUAGCUAGUGCCUGAGCCAGGGCAUCGUCACUUGCCAUACCUUUAGUUUUAGGUUGUGCCGAUGAGGUUGCUGUUGGAACUCCGGGGGGGCCAGAUGUCGAAGCCCUCCUUUGUAAUCCACCGUCUGUGCGAAAUACUCUGCCAGACCUUGUUGCUUGUAACAAAUCUAUCUUCUCUUUCCCAUCUGCCAUAACCCUCAAGAUAAAACUCAAGGUCAGUCACACAGUCAGAGUCAAAGUUGUUUUGAAAUGGAAAGUUCCGAGAAAAAUGUUGUGGGAGAUUUCCUCAGGCCAGCUGCAGUUGUAACUAGUUCCAAAUUCCACUAGGGGGACACUGUAACAGUCAUAAAGUUCUUAAAGUAAUUUACUUCUCCCUGUAGUCCCCCAAUUCACCAGAAAGACAACAAUCUAUCUCAGGCUGUUACUUUAAAACCAGGAGAUACCUAUCAGCAAUAUUGUAACCAAGUUGUAUUUCAGAUGCAGAGCUAGCUGUCAAAAUACGUUCAAAGACAGUGCAUUCUCUAGUAAGCUUCUUACUGACACUGGGAACCCGUUCCGGGCGUUUUGAGCGGUGGUUUUUGUCUCCUCUUCCUCUCUUUUUCUUAGGGAAACAACGUUCAAAGCUUCUUCCCCUCCUCCCCCAAAUUGAAGGGGGGAAAUCCCAGUUUGAUGAUCGGAUUGUAAUCCUUUUGCGCGUCUUUUAAAGCUUCCGCUUUCAAGUUCAAUGCUUUGUUCUACAGUGGUGCCCCGCAAGACGAACGCCUCGCAAGACGAAAAACUCGCAAGACGAAAGGUUUUUUCGUUUUCGAGUUGCUUCGCAAGACGAAUGUCCCUAUGGGCUUGCUUUGCAAGACAAAAACGUCUUGCAAGUUUGUUUCCUUUUUCGUAAAACCGUUAAAACCCAGGGUGCAUUGCUGGAAGAGGUGCAGUUGCGACUUGACCUUGAGGAGCAACACAUUGCACGCGGUGUGGUGGCCUUUCUGAGCUUUUUAAAGAGUUUGCUGGAUUUUUGAAGCUUUUCCAAAACUUCUUCUGCAGCUGUUUGGUAAGUUAAACUUUUGAAACUUUUUUUGGGUUUUUUGGAUUUUGGGUUGGGGUGUUUAGAAUUCAAGGACUUGGUGUUGGGGAGGGGUUUGCAAGAAUCUGGGAGCUUGUGUGUCUUUUUUCUGCAUUUUUAUGAUUUUCUGUGACCAUUGGGCCAUGUUUAUUUUUUUUAAAAAAAAAAUCUGGGUUUUGAAUUUCUGAAUUUCUGUGUGCUGGGUGGAUGGGGGAACAGCUGGGGAGGGGUUUGCAAGAAUCUGGGAGCUUGUGUGGUUUUUUUUGAAUUUUUAUGGUUUUCUGUGACCAUUGGGCCAUGUUUUUUUUUUUUUGAAAAAAAUUUCUGGGUUUUGAAUUUCUGUGUGCUGGGUGGAUGGGGGAACAGCUGGGGAGGGGUUUGCAGGAAUCUGGGAGCUUGUGUGGUUUUUUUUUGAAUUUUUAUGGUUUUAUGUGACCAUUGGGCCAUGUUGUUUUUUUUUAAAAAAUUUCUGGGUUUUGAAUUUUGAAUUUCUGUGUGCUGGGUGGCUGGGGAACACUUGAGGAGGGGUUUGCAACAGUUGGGGAGGGUUUGCAACAGUUGGGGAGGGGCUGGGGAACAGUUGAGUUUUUGAAGACUUUGGUGAUUUUUAAAGCUUUCCCAAAACAUCUUUUGCAGCCAUUUAAGGAUUUUGAAGACUUUGGUGAUUUGCAGCCAUUUCGUAAGUUAAACUUUUAAAACUUUUUGGGGGUUUUUGGAUUUUGGGUUGGGUGUUUGGAAUUCAAGGACUUGGUUCUGGGUUUGAAUUGCUGAUUUUUUUUCCUUUUUCUGAGUUUACAAAGGUAACAGCUGUGCUGCCAUGGGACCCAAGAAGACUGCUGCUGCUGCGGAGGCCGGUGAGAGGAAGAAGAAGAAGGUGACGCUGGAGAUGAAGAAGGAGAUCAUCCGGAAGCACGACGGUGGAAUGCGUGUGACGGACCUCGCCAGGGAGUACGGCAGGAACCCAUCGACCAUCGGGACCAUCCUGAAGAUGAGGGAGAAGAUCCUUGCGACUGAUGCAGCCAAGGGAGUCACCAGGAUCGUGAAGAACCGCCCAGCUGUUCUGGAGGAGGUCGAGAAGUUGCUGCUCAUCUGGUUAGAAGAGAAGCAGCGUGCAGGGGACACAGUGACUGAGGCCGUCAUUUGUGAGAAGGCCAAGGCCUUGCACGCAGACCUCAUCCGGGAACAGCCAGGAACCUCGGCCGAGCCAGAAGUCUUCAAGGCAAGCAGAGGCUGGUUUGACCGGUUCAAGGCAAGAUCCGGAAUCCACAGCGUGGUCAGGCAUGGAGAGGCUGCCAGUUCUGAUGUUCCUGCGGCUGAAGACUUUGCCUUGGAGUUCCUGGAGGUUGUGAAGACGGAGGGCUACGUUCCACAGCAGGUCUUCAACUGCGACGAGACCGGGCUGUUUUGGAAGAGGAUGCCCAAAAGGACUUUCCUCACACAGGAGGAGGCCAAGUUGCCUGGCCAUAAGCCCAUGAAGGACCGUCUGACCCUGCUCUUCUGUGCCAACGCAAGCGGCGACCUGAAGAUCAAGCCCCUGCUGGUGUACCACUCGGAGAACCCACGGGCCUUCAAGAAACACAAGGUCGACAAGGAGC